rnacentral:misc_RNA from 1 species
AGUUUCAUCAUGGUAUCAAAGCUUCCGAUUUAUUAGUGUAUGCUCUAGUACUGUUGAUUGGUACUGUUUUACGUGUAUCGUUUACACGCAUUGUUCAUUGGUACUGUUUAUGCACACUGUUCAUCAGUGCUGUUUAUGGUACUGUUUAUUGACCCCGUUCACAGCACAUGGACCUCCGACUUUUUCAACCAUAGUUGUUAAAGGCGCACUUGAGACGCAAGGCGACCCAGGCUCUUGGCUCAACGACUUGAAGCUUUCCAGGCAGGCAAUCUUCCUGAGGCGAGCCUGGGCGGCCAAGGCGUACCAAGGUGCACCCCAACCACAUCAGGACCAGAAAUUCCAUUUUCCUUAGACCAUUGGGCAAAAAAAUAAAAAAAAGAAGAAGAAGGAAAGAGAAGGCUUCUCUAUAACUCUAGGCUUCAGCUCCAACUUCGGCAGAAUAAUCUCCAGGUUAGUU